CUGCUCUGUAGCUUCUCGCAUCAUCCUAUGGAGGACGCAGCUAAAGGAUCUGUUAUUCCAAUCUGUCCUUGGUUGCAUGGGACUGUCGAUGAUGAUGCUUCUGCCGCUGCCAUUCCAGCUCUGGAGAUCAGCUACGAGCCACGCAUCCCUCUCUCUCUCUCUCUCUCUCUCUCUCUCCGUCUCUCUCUAACAGCUGUGUAGAUCAGUUGUGGAUGUUAUGUAGGAAUGAGACGUUGGCUCGCAGCUUCCCACUGUCAGCUAUAUGGAGAUUGAGCAUUGCAUGCAAAGAAACAGAGGAUGAAAGCUUCGAAGCAUUUCUGAUUGGCUUUCGAUGUGGAGUUUGGAUGAUCCUGGCACUCAGAAGCAGAGGAGUGAGUUGUGAAUUAGGAAGAAAUCAAGAAUGUGGAGUAUUCCCCAAUGCCCACAAGUCCUUGAGCAGGGUGGGGUUUGGGUUGCUCUUCGCACCACUGCUCUUCUCUGCUCUGCUCUGAACCCUCAACUCCCUCAAUGGUAUCUCUCUCUCUCUCUCUCUCUCUCUCUCUCUCUCUCAUGAGUCACAAAAAAAUAAUAAUGAAAAAGAAAAAGUACAGAAAAUAUAAAUGCAAAUAAAAAUCACAGCUUCUAUUUCCAUUAUAUUGUUCUUUACUUUCAUUUUGUUCUUUUUACCUAUUACAAACAAAAAGGGAAAAAGAAAAUAAAGC
rnacentral:lncRNA from 1 species